GCUCUGAUAGGGUGACCAUCAGGGAAAUGCUGACCUCUGUGCUUGUAGAUCUGGCAAGAGACCUCAGAAGUGGUGAAGGAGAGAACAUGUGGGGUGCUUCAUAGACAAUGUAGAAAAGGCUGGAAGGCUUAGUAUGGUUGUGAGCACUCAUCUCACUCUCAAGAAACCUCCACUGUCCUUUCUGUAGAGAAGCAUGCGCUGACACAAGCUUCCUGUUGAGGACCAUCAUCCUUUACACAGGCCUUCUGUGAAUGGUCGUCUAAUGAUGAAUGAGUGAAUGAGCCUCCUGACAAGGUGAGGAAGACAGCACUGCCAACUGGACAAUGGAGCAUUUCUCCCACCGGAAGCUUAGCAGGCAAUCUGUCUCACAAAGGGCAUAUAUUUUGGAUAAUGAAGGGUCACUGAGAGCUCUAUCUAAGGCACAAAAGAGCAGGAUGAAAGAAGAUGCUGACUGACAGGCAUAAGCCUUCAGUGAGACCAGGAGAGCGAGUGGAAAAGAUGAUCCACUGACUAUCAAGUGCAGAGGACUGGCGAGUUUAUUGGGAGAGUUAAAGAGCAGAUCCCGGACGUACCCUAUGAAACUACAGGAGAGAGAUUGUUUAUUUGCAAACUGCCUGAGAGCGACUUUGGGCAGCAUGAAGACAAGACCCUCUUUCAGCAGAUGUUUGUGGAGCUCUCUGUGAAGGCCUGUACUUGGGCUCUCAAGGAGGCAGGGGAAGGUCAGCUGAGAAUAUGGGAAAGUGGAGGAGGAGAAGGAUGCCAGGGUUAGGACUACAAGAGGACAACAACCAAAAGGUUUGGAAAUUAGCAUGAGAUCAGGUGUCUAAUGCAUAAAAGAAAUCAUCUCCUGUAGGACACAAACCACAGUGAGGCAGGGGCUCAGUAUUUUCUCUGGUUGGACCCUGUAAUGGAAGGUCACAACUGAAACACCCCAAUGUUAAUAGCCUCGUGACACUGACUGCCUCUACGAGUCAGCACUUUCUAAGGAAAUUGACUUUGAUUUGUCUCACUCCACCUCACAGCUGUGGAAGCAAUGAGGAUUUACAUACCUUUCCCAUGCUGAUCUGGUAUUCCAUCAUGGUUGUCUGAUCCCAGAGCCUGAGCUCUUACCCACUGUACUAUACUCUUCCUGAGACACUUAAUACUUUGACCAAAGGCCAUUUUUUCUCAGGGCCCUUUAUAAACACAAGCCUGAGAUCUAUAGGUGUGUCGAAAUGGGAGCAUCUGAUAUAGUGGCCCCAGGGUUCUCUAUCAGACACUGGUGCUCCACUUAAGCCUCUAAAUCUGAGAAGAGUCUGAAGUUGGCUCCAGAGGGAGUGUGGAGAUGAUGGAUGGGUUUUUAAGAGGGGAAAUGAAGGAUGGUUGUAGGAACUGCUUGCUGUGAAGAAAAAGAGGAAGUUGAACUUCUGGGGGCGCAAACUGAAGCUUAUAUGAAAUGGAUAAAAUCUUAUGCUCUUGACAAAAGAAAAAAACAGCCUAAAAACUCCUAAUGUGAUAUCACAUCCCAUGAAGGUACAGUAGGCUGAAGAAGAUGAACUUAGGAAAAGACGAGGGAAAAGAUGUCCCUCUUUAGGGUGGGCAAGAAGUGGUCAAGCAAAACGUCUUCAUGGACUGCAUGCUUCCUACAUAACCAAGUCUGGACACUAUGGCAUGGGUGAACACAGGGGCGAAGCCUCUUCUUAGGGAGAAGUUGGCCUAGUGAGUUGUUGCACUUUUGAAUAAAACAGAUUCUAGAAUAUGAUGCAUUGGUUUCAGAAGUGAAGUCUGGAGGUCUUCUGCCAGUCUCCUCACAUGUGACUGACUGUAAAACAUUUGCGAUGUGACUAGAAAAUUUGAACUAAAUACUAGUUGCCAAGUACUUAGUAUAACGGAGUAAACUAAGAAAGCUGUCUUUUCUCUAGCAUCUACAUUUUUGGCAUUGUUGUCAAAAUUCAGGUAAUCGGAGCUAUGUAGGUUCAUAUCUGAAUCUCUUACUGCGUUCUAUUGAUCUCUCUGGGUUCAUGCUUGUACCAGUUGUACUGUUGGGAAAGUUGAGUCUCUAUUUGUAGAAGAAGGAAACUAGACUCCCUUCUUUUACCCAGCCCAGAAAUCAACUCCAAGUGCAUCAGAGACUUAGUGCAAUUCCUGAAAACCCUGAGACUGUUAAAAGAAAAUUAGGAAAACCUUUCCAGAUAUAGGCAGAGGUGAGGAGGGCUUUCUGAAUAGGUCUUUAGCCCUUAGGAAACAAUUGACAAAGGCCACAUGACGAAGUUUAAAAGCUUCUGUACAGCACGGGAAAUGGCGUUAGACUAAAGAGAAAGCCUACAGAAUUGGGGGAAAAUCUUUGUUAGCUAUUCAUCUCACAGACAUUUCAAACCAAGAAUAUGCAGUGAACUCAGGAAUUUAAAUAUUAAGAAAACAAACAAGUCAAUAAAAAUGGGUUAAUAAAAUGUUUGGGCAGUCCUUAAAAGAAUAAAAACAAAUUAAACUAC